GUGGGGUGCAGUGGCGCACGCUUGUAAUCCCAGCAACCUAGGAGGCUGGGGCAGGAGGAUCGCAAGUUGAGGCCAGCCUCAACUACUCAGUGAGACCCUGUCUCAA
rnacentral:sRNA from 1 species